CUCUCGUUCUUAAAGAGAUAGGAAAGAACUGACCUACUUUCUAUGGAGAUUCUUGUAAUAGGUGGGCUCAUUACAUCUGCCUAACCCAGGCUUGGUUCGGUAAAGACACCAUUCCAAGGAGCUCAGCUCACCCCUCUGCCUUGAAUCAUUUUCCCCUAAUCCCAUUUAAAAUGUAAUCAUUCGUUCAUUCCUUCAUUCAGUAGACAUCUAUAGAGCUUGCCUCGUGCUGGGCUCUAGAACACUAUGAGCUCACAGUACGGUGGUGGAGACAAGCCACCACACACGCAGUUCCCACAAGGUGUCCCCAAGAACUUCGGAGCUCAGAACAGGUGAUACUCACUCCUCCUUUGGGGAGAGGCCGUGGGCAUGGCUUCACUUUUCAGCUGGAUUAUAAAGGAUGUGAAGUUAGCCUGACUGAGCAGAAGGGGAGGGAAGACAGCACUCCAGGAAAGUGGAACGAACAACAGAGUCCAAAGGGCCCUCCAGCCUACCCACUCCCAAGUACCUGGAAGAAGCUCUCCACGUGUUCCCUUGGGGCCUCCUCCCGGAGUGCAGGGUCAUACAGGUUGAAGGCCCAAUUAAGCCUGUCAUCUACAGUUCCCCGAAGAAUCACGGACAAACCAGCCACAAAGUCCUGGGAAGGAGGCAGGAGGGAGCUGUGUCCUCGGGUACUCUUCACCCAACUCCUUCUCUGGGUUUGGCCUGGAGAUCCUGGCCCUGAACUCCAGGAAACAGGCUUCCCUGGCCCACCUCGCCCAGCUCACCUCAAAACUGACCGAGCCAUCAUGGUUGGUGUCAAAGGCAUUGAAGAGAAAAGUGGCAUAGGUGCUGGAGUCUGCAGGGUGAGUGUGGAGAAGUUGGCUUCCACACAGGAGAGGACUUCCUCCCUCUAAGGAGCUCCCCAUACCCCCCAUCACCUUGGCAUUCCCAGCUCCUCCAGAAUCCCUCCCUCCCUCAGCCUAGAGAAGGACAACUGCUUCCCCUUGGGCCUUGUCCCCUCACCUCCUUGAGGAAAGAACUGGGAGUAAAUCUGCUUGAAGUUCUCCUCAUUGACAAUUCCGCUGGGACAUUCCUGGAAGGAGAGGGCACCAGGCUGAGGGCAGAGACAAAAUCCCCUUCCGUUCACCGCCCCCACCCUCCAUGGCCCAAGACUCCCAGGGAGGGGGAUAAUCUUCAAGCCUCCAGAGGACUCACCACGUGGCUCAUGUGAUGGGAGGGAAGACUUCUUUCCCAGUGCACAAAUAAAAAACAUGGAACGAAA
ensembl:lncRNA KCNIP2-AS1 KCNIP2 antisense RNA 1